rnacentral:rRNA from 1 species
AUUGAACGCUGGCGGCAGGCCUAACACAUGCAAGUCGAGCGAGCGGCGGACGGGUGAGUAAUGUAUGGGGACUGCCCGCUAGAGGGGGAUAACCACUGGAAACGGUGGCUAAUACCGCCUUCUGUCUGACAACCCAUAUGGGUUUGGCUAGUUGGUAGGGUAAUGGCUUACCUAGGCGACGAUCCCUAGCUGGUCUGAAAGGAUGAUCAGCCACACUGGGACUGAGACACGGCCCAGACUCCUACGGAGGCAGCAGUGGGGAAUAUUGCACAAGGGGCGCAAGCCUGAUGAGGCCAUGCCGCGUGUAUGAAGAAGGCGCUAGGGUUGUAAAGUACUUUCAGUCGGGAGGCGUUACCGACAGAAGAAGCACCGGCUAACUCCGUGCCAGCAGCCGCGGUAAUUC